CAAAACGACUCUCGGCAACGGAUAUCUCGGCUCUCAUAUCGAUGAAGAACGUAGCGAAAUGCGAUACUUGGUGUGAAUUGCAGAAUCCCGUGAACCAUCGAGUUUUUGAACGCAAGUUGCGCCCAAAGCCUUUCGGCUAAGGGCACGUCUGCCUGGGUGUCACGCA
rnacentral:rRNA from 1 species